rnacentral:rRNA from 1 species
AUUGAACGCUGGCGGCAGGCUUAACACAUGCAAGUCGAGCGGAGAGAGGUAGCUUGCUACUGAACUUAGCGGCGGACGGGUGAGUAAUGCUUAGGAAUCUGCCUAUUAGUGGGGGACAACAUUUCGAAAGGAAUGCUAAUACCGCAUACGUCCUACGGGAGAAAGCAGGGGAUCUUCGGACCUUGCGCUAAUAGAUGAGCCUAAGUCGGAUUAGCUAGUUGGUGGGGUAAAGGCCUACCAAGGCGACGAUCUGUAGCGGGUCUGAGAGGAUGAUCCGCCACACUGGGACUGAGACACGGCCCAGACUCCUACGGGAGGCAGCAGUGGGGAAUAUUGGACAAUGGGCGGAAGCCUGAUCCAGCCAUGCCGCGUGUGUGAAGAAGGCCUUAUGGUUGUAAAGCACUUUAAGCGAGGAGGAGGCUACUCUAGUUAAUACCUAGAGAUAGUGGACGUUACUCGCAGAAUAAGCACCGGCUAACUCUGUGCCAGCAGCCGCCGUAA